CCGAGUUUACAACUCCCAAACCCCUGUGAACAUACCUUAUCGUUGCCUCGGCGGAUCAGCCCGCGCCCCGUAAAAAGGGACGGCCCGCCCGCAGGAACCCCUAAACUCUGUUUUUAGUGGAACUUCUGAGUAAAACAAACAAAUAAAUCA
rnacentral:misc_RNA from 1 species